GUUAGUGUGACAUCCAAAGUACUAAUUAAGGCAAAUGGGUGUCAGAUAAAGAUUCAGAAUAACGAGUGCAUGAUAAAAUUUAUGCAGCAGAACAAAAUCAUUACAAAUCCCUUACAAAUACAAAUGAGUUCCUAUACAUACAUAUACUGAGGCCAUAAGUGGUUGCAAAAUACAAAACAAAACAUGAAGGCCACUUCUUUCACUAUCUUAUUGGACUCAUCAGAAUGCGGGAACAGUCAUGCACUCAGACUUGUGGAUCCACGGGAUCCUCAUAGACUUCCAAGGAUAGGUCAACCUACGAUUCCUCACUUUCUUCCUCAUU
rnacentral:lncRNA from 1 species